GGCCUAGUGGUGUAGUGGUAACACAUCAACAUGGAGUAGUGAGGAGGAUCUACAUUUCAGUAGAGGACCCCUGUUCAAUUCAGGGCUGGGUCA